rnacentral:tRNA from 1 species
GGCGACAUGGCCGAGCGGUCUAAGGCGCUAGAAUCAGGUCCUUUCCUUAUCUAGUCUUUCGGGGCGUGAGUUCGAAUCUCACUGUCGUCA